rnacentral:tRNA from 1 species
GCCGAGGUAGCUCAGUUGGUAGAGCAGCGGACUGAAAAUCCGCGUGUCGCCGGUUCGAUUCCGGCCUUCGGCA